AAAAUAUUUAAUGAGGUGGAACCAGAUGUUUAUGAGUAGCCCCUUGAAAGCAAUGCAGGCGAAUAAUUCGGAAAUUACAUCAGCAAGGAGAGAAAAAACGCGCAUAAAAAAAAAGAUAAAAAAGAAAAUUCCUUCCUUUAUGACUAAGAUUGUAGGAGUCAAUUCCCAGGUCUUUUUCCUAGAAUCCAUAGCGGGUCGUUGUUUUCCUCAUUUUUAAGAGCCGGAAAAAGGUCUAAUUUUAACCUGAGGUUUCUUUCCCCAAGGAAGUGGAUUCCCCGAAAAAAUCCCCCUGCAGGCCGAGCCUUUGGGCGUUGCAUUUCACCCCCCCGCCUCAAAUAUUGCAAUCCACAAGCAAACCAUGCCGACUUAGGGUCCGCAUAUACCCCGGAAAAAUCGUAUCGACCUAUUCAUAUAUUAGAAAUAGCCGGCCUAUGCCUAUUUGUAGUCAACCCGUACUGAUAAGCAAUCCUUACUCCA
rnacentral:misc_RNA from 1 species